UAGGCUUGGGCACGGUCCUUCUCGCGGAUAGCGUAGAUGUCUCUAUUCGUUAACAGCUACAUUGUCCGCAGGGAUCUAGCCACAUGGCAAU
rnacentral:pre_miRNA from 1 species